AUUACCGGACUCACAUAACCCAACCGCAGGUUCGGUUGGUGCGUCUGUCCAGGUCCGGGGCGUGUAAGCCGUCCAACCUUAUCCCGCUCGUUCGCGGAACAGGGAGUGCUAUCGCAUGGCUAAGGGAACUACAAAAGCUCGGGCCACCGCGCCCGAGGCUGUUUACUCAUCGAAUUUG
rnacentral:ncRNA from 1 species